CAAAUGAUGCUCGGAACUGGAAUUACCAUCUGAACGCGUACCACGCAAAUCGAAGAUACGAUGCCGUGCACAUUACCUCCGCUGUUACUCGGAUGACUGAU
rnacentral:snoRNA from 1 species